rnacentral:ncRNA from 2 species
UUAAGUUUUGGAACUGUGAAAAAUUCUCAUUAUUUGGGCACCUUUGAGGAUUUUGAGUUAGUGGUGCAACCGACCAACUUAA